AUGGGUCAGUUAGGUAUUUUGGGGCUUAAGUUCUUCCAAUCCCCGGGCAGCAUGGCUAGCCCGUUUCUUCUCAUCCCGCUUGGCACCAACCCGGCCGGGCUCAAGGGAGGUUGGUUGCUUGAAGCUAGAGGCCUCGCCGUAGGGCUUUUCGAAGGGGUGGAGGCAUUCGGAGCCGUCGGCCUUGAACCCAAGGGCACCAAAGCAGAAGAUCUGCCCUUCGGAGAAGAGGACCGGGUGGAUCAGAUCCUCGGCCGUGUCGGGGAUGAGGCGGAUGGGGCCGAGGAAGAGUCUCCGGCUUGGUGCGAAGCCGGCUCGUGCGGAUGGGGCCAUUUCAAUCUGCGGGGUCGUUCUCCGUGUGUUGCCCCUACCCGGUGCACCAACAUCUUGGACCUCUCCGUCCUGGCUCCACUUUCCUGUGUCGGUGGAAGCUGGGUUGUCUCCGUAUCUGGGGAAGGAUUAACAUGGCAACUAGACAUGCUUAGUUUGAAUUUUGUACUUAGGAUGGGUGUUGGCCAUAGUGAUGAUAAAGUUCUUGUCUUUGUUCUUGCUGCUACGAGUAUGCCAUAUGCUCUGGAUCAGGUGAAAGAUAUCUUGUUUGAGCCCGUGCACUACGAUCCAGGAGCUUGCAUCCAAAGGCACCUGAUCGCUUCACAGAUUCUUUCACCCCUGAUCCCAGUGACUGAUGUCAAGAAAGUCCUCGCUGGCAGAGGCCGACCGUUGGCAAGACGGACCUGGAAGUACACGAGAAGCUCAAGAAACAGUUCAGUGAAGAGGGUUGAUUUGCUGCCAUCUCUCUGGCAUCUAAAAUUACUUUUUACUCUUUUCGACGGCGUGUGCCACAUGAGUUUUGUGCCGGGCUACCUGCAACGAUACCUGAAUCAUCUAAUAAGAUCAAUGCUGGAGUACACAUAUAUGCUAGCCCCACGGAGCACUUGCAGAUUGCCUGUUCAUCUGUUGGCAGGCUGGGGCUACAAAUUAGCUAGCAUGCGUUCUUGCAUACAUGCAUGGACCAAAACCAAGGACGAUCACCAGCUGCAGAAUAUAUGCAAGUUGCAGCAGGGGAUAUCAUCAAGGAGAAGAGGUGAAGCUAAUUUCGGCCUCGAGUGCGUUGUAUGGGAAUCGGUGCACGGACACGGGCAUGGUGGUACUAAGGGAAUCUCCAGCCGGCUCCCCAGGAAGGCCCCCAAGAGCACUUUUUCGUCGCUGGCGGCAAAAAAAAGACCCAGUCACGCCCCCACGACCUCAAUUAUCGCCGGAUUUGGGCAAAAAUACGGCCGGCGAGCCCACCCCAAACCCAGGAUCCCGGGGGGCAGCUGGGGGAGGAGAGAGACCGCUUUGCAUGCCUUGGGCCCGCCGUCAGCCUCCCACUCCCUCUCUCCUCACUUUUCCUCCGGGGCCCAUCCACAUGCUUCUCUCUUCUCUUCUCCUUCUCUCCAUCCACGGGCGCAGCAGGGUGGGCAGCCACGGCGGGGUGCGGGGCGCGAGGUGUGGGGUGCAGGCCAGGGGCGAGGCCACGACGGACGGUGCGGGGAGGCGGCGGACGCCCUCGACCUCCUCGUCGUCUUCUCCGGCGACGAUGGCGCCGCACACCGCCCCGGCCUCCAGGAGCCACGCCGUCUUGUGCACGUGGAUGUACUCCAGCGUGGCGAGGCCGACGUCGGCGCCCUCCCUGGCGAGGUCCACGACCUGCCCCGCCGCGAGCCCACCCGCGCCCACGGCGCCCGCGAGCUCCGCCACGCUCCGCACGCCCACGGCGCCCGCGAGCUCCGCCACGCUCCGCGUAUUGCUCUUGCUGCUGCCACCCUAUCUGCAUCCCCGCAGCUGCGGUGCCGGUGCCAUCCUCGGCGCGCACGCUGCUACAUAGCAGCAGCGACCUCCGCAGCAGUAUCAGCAACGAACCGCCCGAAGACCUCCAGCAGCAUGCCGUGGGGCAGCGCGGACGUGAUUGGCAUCCACGGCCUCAUCACCUCCCGCUCCUCCGCCAGCAUCUACCCCGUCUUCGAGUACAUGGAGCACGACGUCGCCGGACUCGCUUCCUCCCCUGACCUCUCCAAAUGGAGGGACUGCGCCGCGAGCAGGGCCUGUAUGCACCGGAGCAUGCCCACGGCAUCGCCUGUGACCUGCUCGACGAAAUGCCGCUGCCUACUUGAGCCUCAACACUGCUCCUGGGGGGCACAACGAGUGGAAAGAUUUGCGCCCCCAGGCAAAAAAUUUCGCCGGCAGCCCCCCAAGGGGCGAAAGAAAUGCCUCCUGGGGAUGCCAACGAGUGGAGAUGCUCUAAGAGUUUGCUGCUGGCAUGACAGCGAGGAGGCGGUCGGCAAUGGGCGGUGGUGGCGGCUAUGGCGGGCGGGGGAGGAGGGCAGGCCUCAUAGGGGUGAGAAAAUGAGCGUCUGUGUCCUUGACAGGCGGGUCAGAGGAGGACAAGGGCGUGCGUCCCGCCCGUCCACAACAUUGACACAAACGGGGCCUAAGUUUGGGCCAUAA
rnacentral:rRNA from 1 species